rnacentral:lncRNA from 1 species
AUUUCGAGAAGUACCUCUGUGAACUCUUUGACGUACUCCCGGAUGGUUCCUUUGUGCUGCAAACGCCUUAGCUUGCCACGAGCUUCCUCCUCGACGUUGCUUGGGUAGAACUGCUUCUUGAGUUCUGCCUUGAAAUCUGCCCAAGUGUUGAUAGAGCAGGUGCCUUUCUCUAUGUCGCUUUGUCUUCUCCUCUACCAAACCAUUGCGGUGUCCUCGAGGAAAAGACUACCCAUGCUUACCUUUAGAGCCUCGUCUUNNN